rnacentral:rRNA from 1 species
AUGAACGCUGGCGGCGUGCCUAAUACAUGCAAGUCGAGCGAACGGACGAGAAGCUUGCUUCUCUGAUGUUAGCGGCGGACGGGUGAGUAACACGUGGAUAACCUACCUAUAAGACUGGGAUAACUUCGGGAAACCGGAGCUAAUACCGGAUAAUAUUUUGAACCGCAUGGUUCAAAAGUGAAAGACGGUCUUGCUGUCACUUAUAGAUGGAUCCGCGCUGCAUUAGCUAGUUGGUAAGGUAACGGCUUACCAAGGCAACGAUGCAUAGCCGACCUGAGAGGGUGAUCGGCCACACUGGAACUGAGACACGGUCCAGCCUCCUACGGGAGGCAGCAGUAGGGAAUCUUCCGCAAUGGGCGAAAGCCUGACGGAGCAACGCCGCGUGAGUGAUGAAGGUCUUCGGAUCGUAAAACUCUGUUAUUAGGGAAGAACAUAUGUGUAAGUAACUGUGCACAUCUUGACGGUACCUAAUCAGAAAGCCACGGCUAACUACGUG